rnacentral:rRNA from 1 species
CAAUAGCGUAUAUUAAAGUUGUUGCAGUUAAAAAGCUCGUAGUUGGAUUUCUGGUAGGAGUGACCGUUCCGAACUUGAUUGUUCGUGUAUUGUGUUUUCUCCAGCCAUCCUUGUGGAGAACUUUUCUUGCAUUAAUUUGUAGGGAUUGGGACCCGCAUCGUUUACUGUGAAAAAAUUAGAGUGUUUAAAGCAGGCAAUCGCUUGAAUACAUUAGCAUGGAAUAAUAAGAUAGGACUUUGGUACUAUUUUGUUGGUUUGCAUACCAAAUUAAUGAUCAACAGGAACAGUUUGGGGAUAUUCGUAUGAACAUGUCAGAGGUGAAAUUCUUGGAUUUUGAUCAGACGAACUACUGCGAAAGCAUUUAUCAAGGAUGUUUUCAUUAA